AUUCGACAAAGGCAAAAUCAUCGAAAGAUGAUGACGCAAAGCUACAGGGGCUAAGGUCUUGACGACGAUGCCAGCCAGUUGCCGGU
rnacentral:ncRNA from 1 species